rnacentral:rRNA from 1 species
UACGGGGGGGGCAAGCGUUGUUCGGAAUUACUGGGCGUAAAGGGCUCGUAGGCGGCCAACUAAGUCGGAUGUGAAAUCCCCAGGCUUAACCUGGGAACUGCAUCCGAUACUGGAUGGCUUGAAUCCGGGAGAGGGAUGCAGAAUUCCAGGUGUAGCGGUGAAAUGCGUAGAUAUCUGGAGGAAUACCGGUGGCGAAGGCGGCAUCCUGGACCGGCAUUGACGCUGAUGAGCGAAAGCUAGGGUAGCAAACGGG